rnacentral:rRNA from 1 species
AGAGUUUGAUCAUGGCUCAGGAUGAACGCUAGCUACAGGCUUAACACAUGCAAGUCGCGGGGCAUCGCGAAGGGUAGCAAUACUCUUUGGCGGCGACCGGCGGAUUGGUGAGUAACGCGUAUCCAACCUGGCCCUAUCUCGGGCACAGCCCCUCGAAAGAGGGAUUAAUUCCCGAUGUUCCCGUUAGUUCGCAUGUUCUUUCGGGCAAAGGUAUUUAUCGGAUAGGGAUGGGGAUGCGUUCCAUUAGGCAGUCGGCGGGGUAACGGCCCACCGAGCCUUCGAUGGAUAGGGGUUCUGAGAGGAAGGCCCCCCACACUGGGACUGAGACACGGCCCAGACUCCUACGGGGGGCAGCAGUGAGGAAUAUUGGUCAAUGGCGGCAACGCUGAACCAGCCAAGUAGCGUGAGGGAUUACGGCCCUAUGGGUCUUAAACCUCUUUUGUUGGGGAGCAACCUGUGCCACUUGUGGCACACUGCGAGUACCCUUCGAAUAAGCAUCGGCUAACUCCGUGCCAGCAGCCGCGGUAAUACGGAGGAUGCGAGCGUUAUCCGGAUUUAUUGGGUUUAAAGGGAGCGCGGACGGGAGAUUAAGUCAGCUGUUAAAUGGCGGCGCCCAACGCCGUCCUGCGGUUGAUACUGGUUUCCUUGAGUGCGGCAUGGGCAGGCGGAAUUCACGGUGUAGCGGUGAAAUGCUUAGAUAUCGUGAAGAACUCCGAUCGCGAAGGCAGCCUGCCGGGCCGUUACUGACGUUUAGGCUCGAAAGUGCGGGUAUCAAACAGGAUUAGAUACCCUGGUAGUCCGCACAGUAAACGAUGGACACUCGCUGUCGGCGACAGACAGUCGGCGGCCAAGCGAAAGCGUUAAGUGUCCCACCUGGGGAGUACGCCGGCAACGGUGAAACUCAAAGGAAUUGACGGGGGCCCGCACAAGCGGUGGAGCACGUGGUUUAAUUCGAUGCAAACCGAAGAACCUUACCUGGGUUUGACAUGUAAGUGGUAGGAGCUGGAAACAGUGACGAAUCUGCCGCAAGGUAGAUAGCUUACACAGGUGCUGCAUGGCUGUCGUCAGCUCGUGUCGUGAGAUGUUGGGUUAAGUCCCGCAACGAGCGCAACCCCUGCGGCUAGUUGCCAUCAAUACGGUUGGGCACUCUAGCAGGACUGCCAUCGACAAGAUGGAGGAAGGUGGGGACGACGUCAAGUCAUCAUGGCCCUUAUGUCCAGGGCGACACACGUGCUACAAUGGACGGUACAGAGGGAAGCGAGGCAGUGAUGUUGAGCGGAUCCCGAAAAGCCGUUCUCAGUUCGGAUUGAAGUCUGCAAUUCGACUUCAUGAAGCUGGAAUCGCUAGUAAUCGCAGAUCAGCCAAGCUGCGGUGAAUCCGUUCCCGGGCCUUGUACACACCGCCCGUCACACCACCCGAGCCGGGUGUACCCGAAGCCGGUGGCCUAACCGCAAGGAAGGAGCCGUCGAAGGUGUGUCUGGUGAGGGGGGUGAAGUCGUAACAAGGUAGCCGUA